AGAGGGGGCAAGCGUUGUUCGGAAUUACUGGGCGUAAAGGGCGCGUAGGCGGCCUUCUAAGUCGAACGUGAAAUCCCCGGGCUCAACCCGGGAACUGCGUCCGAUACUGGAAGGCUUGAAUUCGGGAGAGGGAUGCGGAAUUCCAGGUGUAGCGGUGAAAUGCGUAGAUAUCUGGAGGAACACCGGUGGCGAAGGCGGCAUCCUGGACCGGCAUUGACGCUGAGGCGCGAAAGCCAGGGGAGCAAACGGGAUUAGAUACCCCGGUAGUCCUGGCCCUAAACGAUGAAUGCUUGGUGUGGCGGGUAUCGAUCCCUGCCGUGCCGAAGCUAACGCAUUAAGCAUUCCGCCUGGGGAGUACGGUCGCAAGGCUG
rnacentral:rRNA from 1 species